UUCUUUUGCUAUCAGAAUUUACAUGUUCUACCUUUCAAGAUGUCUCAUUCACUGAUUCCAAUUGCUUUUCUUGGAUAGGCUCCUAAAAAAUCCACCAAGCAUCAAAACCAGAAAAUUUCUAAACUACUUCUUCAGCUAUCAGAAUUUACAUGUUCUACUUUUCAAGAUGUCGCGUUCGUUCAUUCCAAUUGCUUUUCUUGGAUAAGAGACGAAUCAGCCAAGGGCUGAAAGUCUCUGAAAUAAAGAAAAAUCAAAUUUCUUGGAUGAAGCUUACCAGGCUCCUAAAAAUCCUAAAAAAAAAUCUGAUUAAUUUCCUCUGCCAUUAGAAGAAUGUACAUGUUCUACCUCUCAAUAUGCCUCAUACACUGAUUCCAAUUGCUUUUCUUGGAUAAAGCUUACCAGGCUCCUAAAAAUCCAUCAAGCAUCAAAACCAGAAAAUUUCCAAACAACUUCCUCUGCUAUCAGAAUUUACCUGUUCUACCUUCCAAGAUGUCUCGUUCGCUGAUUCCAAUUGCUUUUCUUGGAUGGAGCUUACCAGGCUUACCAGUUUAAGAGAAAUGUUUUAUUAUGUUCAUAAUGAAAAUAAAACCUAACCAAUAAAACUGAUUAUAAUAUCAAAACAAAGUAUGGGUCAGUUUAAAAAUUUUAUAUUUGUUGAAACAACAAAUAUGAAUAUUAGUUUCAAUAUGGCUUCUUUUGUUGCUUCCACACAUUGUUUUUAUAGAUUUGAUAAAUCGUAUUUUUGUUUCAAAAAAAAAAGUUUUGUUUUGGUUGUGACAGCUAGUUGUUUUCGGUCAUUUUUAGAAACAACAAAUUCUAUUGUUGUUAUAAAUUUGUGGAUUUGUUGAAUCAACAAAAUUAAUUGGUAAAGCCCUGAGUCUACAAUAAAAUUUGUUGAAACUGUGCCGAAUUCUUUUGAGUUUACAAUAUAUUUUUCUGCGUGCAUAACAAGUUGUAACAAUAUGCCACAUUGUGCAAAAAAUGUCAAACAGUACAGCCAUGAAGAAUUGUGAGACAUGGUGGCAAAAUGGAAUGACCGUUUCUCAAAUGGUUUGUGAUUAGAUUUGCACAACACACAUAUACAUGUGUAUUUCACUGUAUGCCACUUACAUUCAACAGUUUUCCAAAUAGCUGCAUACAUUGGUGUCUGUACCAACCAAACGCCGCAGUUUGCAAUUUUAUAGAAAAAAAGAAAAAAAUCCACCUGAGUGAAAACAAACUGAAAACUCGUACGAUCGCUUCAGUUAACGGUUUGAAGUAACUGGAGGUAGAAAAAAAAUUCACGAACAUUAGUUCAAAGAAAUUCAACAGGAUGAAACUGAGUCUGCUCGAAAUUACGUCUGAAAAAUGUUCCGCACGAUCCGCAAAAAAGAAGAAGUGGAAGAUUAGUCCUGUUGCCGGUGGAAACAGUGUAUUCUUGUGAUCAGGAAUCCUCUCCCGCCGCAGGAAGGUCCACAGCUUUAUUCGCCGUAGGUGCUACCGGGCGUACGAAGGGACGUGGUGGGAGUCGGGGAACUUCGGCAGUUAUCACUGCUCUCGGAAUGACCCGGAUGCGCUGCUCGACAUAAUGCGAAGAGAUCUUUCGACGAAGGUAAAUCGCCUUGUUCAUCACCAACAAAAAUAUGAUGAUAAAUAUUUUUUGAAUAAUAAAAUAAGUCACCGGUGAACGCAGAA